rnacentral:rRNA from 1 species
AUUGAACGCUGGCGGCAGGCCUAACACAUGCAAGUCGAGCGGGAUUUACCUUCGGGUAAUGAGAGCGGCGGACGGGUGAGUAAUGCUUGGGAAUCUACCUAGUAGUGGGGGACAACAGUUGGAAACGACUGCUAAUCCUGCAUACGCCCUACGGGGGAUAGGGGGGGCACUUCGGACCUCUUGCCUGUAGAUGAGCCUAAGCUGGAUUAGAUAGCUGGUGGGGUAAAGGCCUACCAAGGCGACGAUCCGUAGCUGGUUUGAGAGGAUGAUCAGCCACACUGGGACUGAGACACGGCCCAGACUCCUACGGGAGGCAGCAGUGGGGAAUAUUGGACAAUGGGCGCAAGCCUGAUCCAGCCAUGCCGCGUGUGUGAAGAAGGCCCUAGGGUUGUAAAGCACUUUAAGUAGGGAGGAAGGUCUGGUAAUUAAUACUUAUCAGGAUUGACGUUACCUACAGAAUAAGCACCGGCUAACUCCGUGCCAGCAGCCGCAGUAA